rnacentral:lncRNA from 1 species
AGGCUAGCUCUGAAAAGACACUGAAGCAGCUAUCUCACUGCUGGGGUCCUCAGUUCCUCGGGUCCGAACCUACACAGGUGGACUCAAAUGAGGGACCAAACAUACAUAAACAUGACUCUAAACUAUUCCCCAAAAAUCCCCUAAAACACCUUAAAACAAUCAUAUAAAACAUGCAAAGGAAGGCUGAACAGGGCACCUUCGGCGGCCGAACCCUCCUCCAAAUCCGAAAGUCAUGCACUUUCGGCAGCACCUUCUACUGCCGAAAGUUCUCUCCAGAUCCGAAAUUCAUGCAUGUUCGGUGGCCGAACAUGAGGUUCGGCGGCCGAACCUGGAUUUCCCUCUAUGGUCUUUUUCAUUCAAAACUCAAUUUAUUUCUUACUUAAAACCAUAAAAUACAUGAAAAUAUUUUAUAAAAACAUAUUUUUACCCUUCUAGAGGUUUCCGACAUCCGAGAUUCCACCAAACGGUAGGAAUUCCGAUACCGAAGUCUAGCUGGGUAUUACAGUAGUAAAGUCGUGAAAGAAAUUGCAAAAGGGGAGAAGACCAUAAAUUUUGGGACAAGGGAAAUAAAUUGCACAGAUAGCUAAAUUGGGGAUUUAAAACUUGUAACAGAUACUUUUAUUAUUAAACCGUUAUAGAUAUAAAUUUUGUAACGGACAUAACAAUCAGUUACUAAAUGGUUACUAAAUUUAAAAUAACUCUUCAUUCUGUAACGAAUAGCAAAUUCAUUACUAAUUUGUUACAAAUAUUUAUACAACUAAAACAGAUUAGUAACUGAUAUAUCCCUUAUAAAUAUUUAGUAAUCACAUAGUAACAAAUUUGUCAAUCCGUUACAAGUUUGAUUCCUUCUUUUUAUCCGUUUGAAAUCAAUUACAAAAUCGUUAUAAAUCUGAAACAGAUACAGUCUGUUACUAUUUUCCGUUACUGUACCGAUAAAUUAUUGUAGUGAUGAUCGAUGGCUCCACUUUUUUUAAUUACCUUUGUACAUUUAUUUUUCUCUUUUGUAGGUAAUUUUUUAUUUAUGGUCCUUGAUUUACGGUAAAAAUAUAAGUCUCUCAUUUGAAAUUCAUUGCCAAAUGAAUGAUGAGAGCUUAGUUUCAUAAACAACUGAGAAUGGAUUAUGAAGAUGAAACUGUUAGUAAGAAGAUAAAAGGUUUGACAAAGAAAAGGGAUAAACAAAAAAUUUUUGUUUUUAAAAUUUUAAAUAUUAAAAUAAUUUUAUAAUAAUAUUUUUUAAAUUAUUAUUAUUUUCACGUUAGUAAAUAUAAAUAGCAUUUAAAAAAACACUGUUUUUUGUUAACAGCAUAUAAUCAUCAGGUACCACUUUGUUACAAACUUAAACUUAGAUACUGAUUUGAAAAUGCGCGAAAUCACAAGGUAUAUGAUAAAGGACUAUUUAGACUUCGUCAGGAGUUUUAACCAAUAUAGUUUGGUUAAGACGAAAUAAGAGAAAAUGUAGGAUAGAAGACUAAAAGUCUUAUUGAAAUUCCUCAAAGAUUAAAAAGUGUCUUUCUAAUAGCCAAGGGAGACUAUUUAUAAUAGAAACAAAACCUUAAUAUACAAAAUUAUGAAAAUACCCAAAAUAUCCAAAAAAUAAUUAAAAUGCAAAAGUUAAGCCCGGUCCAAGUUUGUCGUAAAAUUCAAGGCUAGUUGCUCCAUAUCAUUCCCUUCCACUUGUAAAGAACUCGACCUCGAAUUGUCAUCAGUAGGGUAGUACUGAAAUAGAUCCACCACGUUAAACGUCUUGAAAAUUUUCAUAUCACGUGGAAGGUCAAGAACAUAGGCAUUGUCAUUAAUCUUCUGAAUGAUCCGGAAUGGACCAAUUUUCUUGGCGUCAAGCUUUUUCUGUCCUCCAUCACGCUCCUUGCAUAAAUACACCAUAACUUGGUCACCGACAUUGAAGGACUUGAAACGCCUAUGUUUAUCAGCUGUAGCUUUAUAUUUGUCAUUGGCUUCUGUAGCUUGGAUGAUUCCUCCACUAUCUUAUGAAACUCCUUCAACAUCUCUUUGACGGGUGGUGGUAAAGAUGGUGCAUCCUCCAUUGUACUUUUUGCUCUCACUAAUAAAGCCAGUGUGCCUCCAGAUUUUUCAAUUGCACCUGAUAACUUCUGCACUCCCGUAGAAACAGCAACAACAUUCUUCCCUUCCACUUUAGAAUGUUUCGCAGAAUCGGAAGGCAAGAUAGUAAACUUCUUUUGAUUUCACGUGAACACGUAUGAAUUCUCCUUUCCCUUAUGCAAAGCAUCAACAUCGAACUGCUAAGGGCGACCUAGCAAAAUUCCACAGCAAUCCAUAUCCACAACAUCACAAUUAACAGGUUCAGUAUAUGAUUUACCGAUCGAGAUAGACACGCUGCAGAUUCUGUUGACCUCAAUUGUCGGACCUUCCUUAAUCUAUCCGACUUUGUAUGGCUAAAGGUGCGACUGUAUAGGCAACUGCAAUUUCUCCAUCCUUCGGUUCCUCUGAACACAGUCAUGAUAUCGGUUAUACAAAACCUGAGCGUGAUCGCUAGGCAAGAACCGUUGUUCCAUCAUCUGCUUUGUAACGACCCCAAAAUGGACCGUCACCGGCGCUAGGAUUCAGGUCGGCUUAAGGCCGCCAGAACCCGUAGCAAGCCUGCUAUACUCUCUGUGUACCUGUAAAUCUCAUACAUGAUCAUACAUUUUCUGUGAAAAUAACUGAACCAAGGCUUAACCUGUGCAUGCACUAUCUCUGUACUCUGUACUCUGUACUCUGUCCCCCCUGACUAGAGCUUGCUCUAGAUGGGUUAACUCAUACCUGUUAAGCCUGAUUUUUCACAUACAGUAAAACAUAUAUACAUAUACAGAUCAUGUACAUUACUAAGUCAAGCACAUUUCAAAUUUUAUACACAACUAUUACAUCUCUUUAAUAUUACAUGUCCACUCUAAGCUAUUACAAAUCUCUUUACUCUUUCUGUACUCUGUGGAUCUCCUCUGUAUACUGUACACUGAACCUGCAAAACUGGGGUUAAGGGAGUGGGAUGAGCUCUAUAGCCCAGUGAGUAGAACAGUAAAACAUCUCAUUAAAAUAUGAUCUCAUGGAAUGCACCAUAUCACAGACAAUCCACAUCAAGGGUAAACCUGUCACCACAUAGUCCCGGUAACUCUGCCGUGCCAGGGCGUAGAAUCGAGCACCUGGUCUUCCUGUCAUAUAUGUAUGUGUGUAUAUAACACCUCUGUACUUACCAUUGCCAGGGCGUAGUCAAAGGCUCCUGGACUUUACUCUAUACCUGCCAGGGCGUAGUCAAAGGCUCCUGGACUUCUCUCAGAGACUAUUGGAUCAUUCAGCAUUCACCCACAUCAACAAAGAACUAUGCAAUGCAACAUAUUCGUGAAUGCUAAUGCAAACAACCUACUGUAUACUCAUGAUGCAUGAAGUAUGCUAAAAGCAGUUUAGUUCGCAAUUAAAAACUUUAAGUUAAGUUCUACUCACCUCUGGCUAACUGGACUGACUCUGCAGGCUCUGACAAACUCUGGAGCAGGACUCACUGCUGCUCUCUCUGGUUCCUCUGGUCUGUACCUAUACAGAUGGACUCAAAUGAGGGACCAAACUAGCUUAUGAAUUACUCUAUGAAACGCCCCAAGAAUCCCCUUAACCUCACUCUAACAUCCAUGCAAAGCAUGCAAAGGAAAGUUGGACAUGACACUUUCAGCGGCAGGUUCGGCGGUCGAAAGUCCUCUCCAGAGACGAAACUCAAGCACCUUCGACGGCCGAAUCUCUACUUUCGACAGCCGAACCCUUUCGGGGGCAAGUUUCGGAGGCCAAAAGGCACUCUAGAGACGAAAGUCUCUGACCUUCGACGGCACCUUCGGCGGCCGAACUUCCCUCCAGAGCCGAAAGUCCAAAAGCUCGGGGGCAAGCUUGGGCAGCCGAAGCCACCUCCUCUCACCACCUCAGAGGUUCGGCGGCCGAAUGUUCUUUCGGCUGCCGAACCUGAGUUCAUCAGUAGGGCAGAAACUUGCCCUGCCUCUCGCCAAAUGCACCAAAACCCUCUCAAUCUCAACCACCUCAAUUCCUCAACUUGCAUAUACCCAAGUAUAUGCUCAAAGGGGUCAAAAACUACCUAAAAACCCCAAACACACAACACAUACAACACAGAAACAAGCUUUACUCACAAAAUCAUCAAAACCUCACAAAUAACCCUAUUCAUGCACCUCUCCCCUAAAACCACAUAAAACCUUCAGAAAACAUAAAAACAAGCUCAGGAUCUUCACUUACCUCUUGAAACCAAGAAGAUGAACGAUCCUAACGUGGAGUUUUGGAGCACCUCUCCUUCAAACUCUCCAAACUUCACAACUUUGAGUUUUAAGCUUAAAACCUUCAAAAUACCAUCAAAACUAAUCAAAUCUUUGCAAGAUUGAAUGAAAACAUGAAAGAAUACUCACAAAGGACAGGGUCUCACCUCAGAACGUGAAAGAAACGGUGAUAUUUAUCCUUUCAACCGACUGAGGGCCAUUUAUAGGUGGCUGGCCAGACCACCUUCGGCGGCCACACGUGAAACCGAAAGCCAUGCAUGUUCGGCGGCCGAACCUCAACUUCGGCGGCCGAACCUGGCUUUUCUGCCUUGGUUCAUUUCUCUCAAAAACUCAUGUCUUUAUGCUUUAAAACUAUAAAACAUACCAAAACAUGUUAGAAAAACAUCACUCUCACCCUUCUAGAGACUUCCGACAUCCGAAACUCCAUCGGAAAGUAGAAUUCCGAUGCCGGACUCUAGCCGGGUAUUACAUGCUUCAUCAACCCCCAGUUUCGUAUGGGUUCCAGCCUCCUCCGAUAGUGUUCAUUUUGAAUCGAAUUCCACCAGGCUGUUGCACCCCCUUUUAACUUAAAAGUCACAAUUAGAACCUUGCGAUCCUCUUCCAUGUUCAUAACUUCAAAGAAAUGUUCAACCUCUGCUAGCCAAUCAAGAACAGAUUCAACAUAUAACGAACCAGAAAAGUUUUGAAGGUCUACCUUGAUCUUAUAACCUUCCUGAUAAUUCUGUUGGGGAUUUUCAGGCGCAAGAUUGGCGACUACAGGAUUGGCGGCCAUAGAUUUGGCGACUGGUUGAGGGUGUGCAGCGACGGCGGGUUGGUGGAUUCCCUGCUGCAGGGUCAGUUGUCCGAUCAUCUCCCUCAAUUCUGCUAAAGAUGCCUCAAUCGCAGCAAGUCGCGCCUCUUGAUUAUCUGCCAUGGUCGAACUUUGCUCUGAUACCAAUCUGAUAAAGGAUUAUUUAGACUCCGUCAGGAGUUUUAACCAAUAUCAUUUAGCUAAGACAAAAUAAGAGAAAAGAUAGGAUAGAAGACUAAAAGUCUUAUUGAAAUUCCUCAAAGAUUGAAAAGUGUCUUUCUAAUAGCCAAGGGAGGCUAUUUAUAAUAGAAACAAAAUCCUAAUAUGCAAAAUUAUGAAAAUACCCAAAAUAUCCAAAAAAAUAAUUAAAAUGCAAAAGUUAAGCUCGAUCCAAGUCUGCCGUAAAAUUUAAGACUAGUUGCUCCAUAUCAGUAUAUUUUUGUAAUUUCUCAUUUUUAAUUUGUAGGGAAAUAUUUUCUUGGUGAUACUGAUUAUGGUAUUCAAAAUGAAAUAAUAUCUCCAUAACAUGGUGUUCUAUACCAGUUGAAAGAAUUCACUGAUCAUCCACCUGAAAAUGAAAAGGAAUUACUUAACUUAUGACACUUUUAACUACGAACAACUAUUGAAAGAGGAUUGAAAUUCUGAAGAAAAGAUAUCAUGCAAUAGAUUCAAAACCACAUUGGUCUUAUGAACAUCAAAUUGACGUGGUGCUAGUAAGUUGUAUUCUUCAUAACCAUAUUAUGAGGAUUGAUCAUAAUGACUUUAUCAUGGAAGAAUCAACUAAUCUUUUGAGUUAUUCUGCGAAUCACAUAAUCAAUUUAAGUCAACGAGAAAAAAGAGCAGAAAAUAGAUAAUGGAUCAUCAAGUGAGACUUGAUAGCAUUUGCUGUGUGGAAUGAUUAUAACAAUAAUAGAGUUGUAUAACAAUACUUUAUUUAGAAUUUUGCUUUAUAUUAAGUUUUUCUCUUAUGAAUUCUCAAAUAAUUAGUGAUGUUGUGAUUUAUGUUUAUUAUUAAAAUUGUGAUAUUUACUUUAGUUAUAUUUAUUAUUAAAAUUCUUAUGUUUAUUUUAUUUAUAUUUAUUAUUAAAAUUGUUGUCUUUAUCACUGAUUUACCUUAUUAAUGCAAAUAUUUGUAGAAAUAGUUUGGAAUAAGGAUGAAAAAGGUAAGACCAAACAGAUUAGGUGGUCUAAAUCUAUGUCUCACACAUUACUUAAAGUAUUAGCAGAAUAGAUUUUGAAAGGAAACAAUUCAUCUUUAAUUUUCAGGCCUGAAUCUUUUGCAUGUGUAGUUUUGAAAAUCAAUAAAAAAUUUGGAGUUAAUUGUCUUAAUGAACUGUAGAAAGGAGUAGACUACAAUUUCUACACUUCGAGCCAAAAGUGGAUUUGGGUGGGAUGAUAAUUUGAAGAUGAUAACUACUGACAAAAAUGUUUAUAAUGAAGAAGUGAUGGUACGUCAUUGGUGUGUGUACAUAAUUUACUUGUUACUAAUAUCGUGUUUAUGUAUUUACAUGCACAUCCUAAUCAUGUGAAAUAUCUCAACAAAAAGAUAAAAAUGUAUGAAGAUAUGACAAUUGUUGUUGAAAAAGACAUUGCAACUAGACUUUUUGCCAAAUCGUUUAUUGAUAUCCAAUGUGAUGUCAAAACUGAAGUAGAUUCUACUCUUUUAGAUGAUGGUGCUAAAUUUGAAGAAAUUGCAAAAGGGAUAUCUUUGACUACUGUCCCUUCAUCCCAAAUAAGAUCUCAUAAAAAAAAGUGAUCCUGAAAGAGUUCAUAUUAAGAAAUUGGCCAUGGAGAUAAAAGAAAUUAUAUUAGUGAUUAAAAACUUGAAUAAAGAUUGUAAUGUUUAAUCUUUACGAUGAAGUGAUGAAGACAAAAGGUUUUGAUGAAGACACUUUGGCCUUGCUUUUGAUUAUUUAGUGCAUAAUGAGACACUUGUUAUGGCAAAAAAUUACAAAUCCGAGAAAAAAUUAAGUUCAAAAUUUUAUUAACUAAUAUGAAAGAUAGCCGAGUUUAAUAUGUUAAUAUUAGUAUUCUAUUUAAUUAUAAAGACGUUGCGACUUCUAAAGUUAUAAAUAACUCUUAACUAUGUAGUAUCAAAACUUUAUAUUAUGUGCUAAUAUUGAUAAUAGUUGCUUACUGUUAUUUUAAAAAAAAAUAUUAUUAUGCUGCUGCUGUUAUUAAAUCAAUUUAUUACAUUGUUGUUUUAUUAUUAGCCGUAGUAUUUUUAAUGUAUAUGAUGUAAAAUGUUUUUAUUUUAUUACCUUUUAUAUAUAAUUUAAUUACUAUAAUUAUAUAUAAUUAAUAUAUAAAAUAAUAGUAGAUAAUUAAAUAAACAUAUAAUCAAUAUAUUAAUAUAUAAAUAAUUAAAUAAUAAUAAUAAAAUAAUAUAUAAAUUAUAUAUAGGAAAUUAUAUAAUUUUAGGUGAUAUAAAAAAUAUAAACAUAGGAAAAUAAUUUUCAUAGAAAAUAAUUUUUUAUUAUAUGUGAAAAAAAUUUUCUGUUUUUAGCAAAACAAACGGAGCUUUAAAUAUGAAAAAUAAUUUGGCCCAUAAAGAUGAGCUUUCCUCCAAAUGAAAAUAUGGGUAUCCCAUUCCCAGCUGGGGGAGCAACGACGACGUUUUUCGUCUGCAGAAAUAUAAUGCAUAACCGCCAGUGCGAAAUCGAAGGUAGGCGUCAAGAUUGCGGGACCCGCAAAAAACUAAAAUGUUGUAAACAGCUGAUCAAAUCCUAACCGCUAAAGAGUUGCAUCUCCACCGAGCGCAAAAUCCUUGAAAAUCACCUGAGAUUUUCUCCACUCCCCCCUCUAGGUUUUUGCCAUUCCCAGUUGUCCAAAACCAUUUUCUUCUCAUACCUCCUUCUUAGAAGACGGCUCUAAGUCGCCGGCGAAACAAAGGAGAAGAAGAAGAAACAAACGCGGCAAAGAUGGCCGCACCUGAAGCCCCUCUCUGCUAUGUCGGCGUCGCAAGAGCAUCCCCUGCUUUUCGCCUCAUGAAACAAAUGGUACUAUAUCGACCUGAUAUAGCUAGGGUUUAGCGUUUCAUGGACGUAUUUAUUGUUUUGAUAUUAUGUGUGCAGGGAUGGGAAGAAGGAGAGGGGCUAGGGAAAGACAAGCAGGGAAUCAAGGGAUACGUUAGAGUCAAGAACAAACAGGACACUAUUGGUAAUUCAACUGUUUCUUUUUUUUUUUCUCCUUUUUUUAACAUUCUCCUUUCUUCAUUGUUCUGUUUGGUAGUAUGUGUUGUGCCAUGUUUGGUUGAUCAGAAAAUAAGUGGGAAUGGUUAAUAUAUAGGAAUGUUUAAGUAAUAGAUUUCUAGUUAAUGUAGCCGAGAAUAGUUAUUCAUGAAGCUUUAAGAGGAGAUUUCACUCAAAUGGAAACACGCACUCGUUGUUGUGCAGCUCAUUUUUUGCUUACCCCUUGGAAUACGUGCUCAUCUUUUUUAAUAAAAUUUGAAACAGGCGUUGGUGUAGAGAAGCCAAACAAUUGGGCGUUUGAUACUACUCAAUUUGAUAGUAUUCUCAAGAGAUUGAAAGUGGUAUAUAUUAUUAUUCAACUAUGAUUUUUUGUAGCUUGCAAUUAUGUGCAAUAUUUAAAUUCAAGUGAAUUAGUUCUGACCUCUUUCUCCUUUGCUUUUGUAUUCAACUAACAGCAAGCUGCACAUGCGCCUGAUGAAGGUAUGGCGCGUUGACUCUGACCUCUUGCUCCAGAUAGUAAUUAUAUAUCUAGUUUAUAGUUGUUGUCUGACAUCUCUCUAGCAGUUGGUGAGAAAAAGCACACACAAGAAGAAACAGAGCCUGGUGUAUCUAAUGAUCAUCAAGAACCGGUUGUCAAGGCUACUCGACCACAGGGAAGGUUGGUGCAGCUAUGUUUCACUUUUGAGUCUGAUUCUGCAUAUUAGUUUGGGAUUUAUGCAGUCAAUGAUGAGUAAUUUUUUGUAUGGAGGUUUGAUUGUGUUAAUUCAGUCUGAAUUAUUUCUUAUGGCUUGUCCAUUAGUAACUGUUUGUCUAAUGCCAUAUGUAUUUGAAUAAUUUCUUUUACUUUUCCAAUGGUCAUCAGAUAUAAGAAAAGAGAAAGAGGGAAGCUUGUCCAUGCUUAUUCUUCAAAAGAUCUUGAAGGAAUUCUAGUAAGUUCUAAACUUUGGUGAAUACAUAUUUAUUAAAUAGUCAAAACUGAAAUACUGAUGUAUUUAAUAGGCCAGUGUGUGUUAUAUGUUGGAUUUUGUGGUUGAAAUGCUGAACGUUGCUAGGCAGUAUCCCAUUCAAAAUAUGGAUUUCGGAUGGUUAUAUUAUCUGCUAAAGACUACUUGAUCACAUUUCUCUGGAUCUUUAACUUUCAUCUCCACCGGGUAGUGUGUAUAUCUUGAUGCCUAUGUUAUUUGAAAGCCUGAUGUAGCAUCAGUGAUUUUAAGCUUAAAAGUUUGUUCAUAUUUCAAUUUAAUUUUUUGGAAUUAAUAAGGUUUGAAGUUCAUUUCUGAUUUGAGUCUUUUCCCUGCAGGUCAAAAAGGUUCAGAAGGCAUCCCAUAAAAAUAAUGUAGAAAAUGAGCUGAUGUCUGCAGAAGCAUUUGAGACAGAAAUUUUUUGUCCUGCGGGUAGAAACAUUAACGCAUGGCACUCUUUUUUUUUCUUCUUCUUUUUAAUUGAUAAUGACAAUUUUUUAAUAUCUAGCCAAUCCUUAAUGUAUAUGAUGUCUGAAAACAUUGUUGCAGCUUUAGAUUUACUUAUUUGAACACUUUCUUUUAAGUUUUAAUUGAUGAUGACAUUUUUAAUAUUUAAUUCUAUCCUUCAUUAUGUUGUAUAAUUAUAAGAGGAAUGUUGUAAAUUCUUGAUUUUCUCAAUGUAUUUGAUUAAGCACUUUAAAUGAUCAUUUAGUUGAUGUUUUAAGAAUGACCUCAGUGCAUUGUCACAGAAUCCAAAGCUGAAGAAGUUUCUCAAGAAUGGUGGGGCUAUAAAUCUGGAUUUGUCUCUGGAGGUUUUCUUGGAGCUCAAACUAAAAAGAAAAACAGAACUGGAAAUGCUCUAAAUGGUAAUGAGAGGACUGCAUUCCUUGAAGAAGAUCAAGAGAACCUCUACAAACUUGUCCAAGUAUGUACUUUUCAAGUUCCUUCUCUGAAUACUUGUUUUAUAGGUUGGUUUGUUUUUAUUCUCUCUCUGUACUAUUGAAAUUUUCGAAAAUGAAGCAAUGUGAGCACUAGAUUAUGGUUUAUAUUGUAGCAGUUGCAAAUAUAUGCUUCAGAAAAGGUUACAUUUUGACUAGGUCAUGUGAAGAGCAAUGUGGUAUAGGAGUAGGGUGUAAUCGAGCUGAACUAACCGAGCUUGAGCUAUUAUAACUUAUAUAGGCUUGAGCUCGACUCAAACUCGUUUAUAUUAUUAACAGGCUGAGCUUGAGCUCAAACCAUUCAAAAGUGGGACCUGUAAAAAGUGAGCUCAAAUACUAUUAAAUUAGACAAUUAUAUUACAAGAUAAAAUAAAUUCAUGAGGGUCCCACAAAAGUGGCAUAUGCCACAGCCUUGUAAAAGGGGAGGAGGCCCUUCCCUUUUUAUAGGGAAGAAGAACCCACUCUCCCUUCUCACAAAUGAUGCGGGAUUCUCCCACAUCAUUUUUCCUUUUUUUUUUAAUUUAUUAUUUUUACUUAGUUUCUGUUUUAUAUUAUUAUUUUAUUAUGAUAAAACUAUAACAUUAUAUCUAAUUAAAAUUAUAAUUUUUUUAAUAAUUAAUAGGUAUUUAUGUUAUUUAAUGUUUUCUUUUUUGAGGUAUCUUUAGAGUUGCAAGUAUUUUCUGAUACAAACUAUAUAAUUGAGACUUUAGAAUAUAUAUUAUAUAUUUUAAGUCUUAAUCUUAAAUGAGAUUAAAAGAAAAGAUAAAUAAAAUAAAUAGUAAUGGUUAAUUUAAAAUUUAGCAUGAAUAAUAUUUAUUGGUUAAAUAUCUUAGUAUUGGACUUGAAUCUUAACCUUAUAAAUAUUAUUUUUAAAAAAAAAAAAGAAAUGGAGAAAUGGAUAAAGAGAGAGAGGGUAGUAACACUAACAAUUAGUUGUGGUUAAACCGUAUAUUAGACUUGUAAAGGUUGAAAUUAAAAAGAAAAAGAAUAAUAGUAAUAUUUAUACAGUUUACUACCAAAUUUGAAUGUUAAAUCUUUGAAAUGUUCAAAAUUUAGAAGUGUGUUUGAAAUAUAUUUAUAAUAAUUUCAAGUAGAGUUAUAUAUAUCACAUAACUCUAAUAAUAAUUUCAAAUAUAUUUAUUAAUAUAUAAUUCUUUAUAAACUAACCAUAAAAAUGAAUUCAUUUAAGAAACUUUACAUGAUAACUAAAAAUGUUAACAUACUGACAUUUUUUUUUUAUCAAAGAGUAUUUAUAAUAUUACUUAAUAUUUAUGAUCUAAUAUUGCUAUUUUAUAUUGACAUAUUUAUUGUCUAAUAUAAUAAAUUUAUUUCUCAUAUAAUCAUAGCAUUAACUUGAAUUUUUAUUACAGAUUGAAAAUUAAAUUAUAAAUAAUUAUAUUUUAUAAAUGUAUAUUUUUAUAAUGAUCAUACUAUAGUUUUAAAUAGUAUAUUAUCUUAAAUCAACAUUAAAAUAGAUAUAAUUACAGAUUUAUAAAAUACAAAUUUAAUAUAAAUAUUUGGGUGAAUCAUGAGCUUGACUAACGAUCCUAUUUGUGAGACCACUCAGAAACUUAUAAACAAGAUGAUCUCAUGUGUUUAACAAGUUGAAUACUGCUAAGGUUAAGCUAGACUCAUUACUUUUUUUUUAUCAAGAGGUAAGGGAUAAGAAGCAGGGGGUGGGGUAGUUGGGAGUAGAACCCAUGACCUGGGUAUACUCCACUAUAUGUUUUGCCACCUGACUAAACAGGGUUAGACAGACUCAUUACUUCAUGAACCUAAAAGUUGAGCUCGAGCCUAGCUCUAUUAGAAAACGAUCGAGUUUGGUUGAGUUUUAUUGAGCUAAGCCUUGAAUAGUUUGUGAGUACUUAAUUCUUUUACACUCUUAUAAAGGAGUGAGUUAGUCAAUGAUGGAGGGAGGGCACCCAACUUUGGCGCCCUUUAAAUCUAAUUUUCAUAUUUUAUUAGCCUUUGCUUGCUUGGAUUUAUAAUGUUCUAUUCAAAAUAUUAAUAUUAAAUUCAUUUUAACUAUAACUUAAUAUUUGACUCGACUCAAUAAAAGUUUUAUUUGCAAUAUGUAGCCUAUGAUGUUUUUGAAAUAAAUAAUUAAAAAAAUAUUACCUCAUUUUUAUUUUUUAUUAGAGUAAAAGUUUUCUAAGGUUCUGUUUGUUUUAUAGAAAAUAUUUUUUGUAUUUUUUUGGCAUUUGGAGUAUUCAAAAAUUUAGUCAAUGGAAAAUAUUUUCCCGACAAAGGAAAAAAUAAGCCAUUUUAAGAAAAAUGAUUUCCUUUUUUGAAAAGAGGAAGUUAUCUUCCACGCAUUGAAAUUCUUAUUAAAACCUCUAUAUGUAAAUUUGUUAAUAAAUUUUAUUUUUUAAUUUAAAAUUAAGCAAUAGAAAAUAAGUUAUCUUGUUGAAAAAUAUUUUUCAAAUACAAGUUAUUUUUCGCAAACAAACAGAGUCUAAAUAUAAAGUCUCUUCCCUCUCACAAAGCCACAUGUUUUAUCUUUAAAAAACCUAAAAAUUUGGCUUUUCAUGUUUAAAAUUUGAAUUUCUGUGAGUUCUUUUUUUUUUUUGUCUUUUUAUUUUCUUUUUCAUCUUCAAUAUUCUCUUUUUCCUUUUAACCUCUAUUUUAAUAUAUCAAUCCAUUUUUAUCUUUAUAUUCAUAUUGGAUUAUUUUUAAUUAUUGCUUAAAUUUUAAAUUAGUUCUAAUAAUUUUAUUGAAUUGCUACCAAUAUAUUUUAUCUACAUAUAAAAUAGUAAUUCUGAAAUGGUAAAAGUUAAGAGAACUAUUUAGAUUGUGAAAUAUUUUUUACUUCAUUCUUAGAUAUUAGGAACAUUUAACUUUUUAUUUUUAUUUAAUGUUAGAAAACUAUUUGAAACAAUUUAGUAAAAAUAGUUUGAUGUGAGUGUAUAAAUCCUUGCUCCGUCACAGGAGUCAAUAGAUAAUAUGCUGGCCAUUAAAACAAUUUUCUGCUUCAAAAUUCCCAGGAUAAAGCUACAGCUGGAAAGCAAGGACUGGGUAUUAAGGAUCGGCCAAAGAAAAUAGCUGGCGUCCACUUUCAGGGAAAAAAGACAUCUUUUGGCAACAGUGAUGAUGAGGAUUCUGCUGCUGAUGAUACGGAUUCUGCUGGUUUUGACUCCUCAGCUGAGGAGGAAUUUGAGAAUGCUCCAGCAAUGAAGAAUGUUGAUGAAGGAAAAGUUGAUAAUGAGGAAUCAGCUGAUUUUGCUUCCUUAGGAAAAAGAAAACGUGACAGCAGUCCAGAAAUGAAAAUCAAUGAUGAGCAAAAAGUGAAGUUGAAAAAGCUGUGUAAACAGCUUCUACGUCAGGUGCAGAAUGCAAAUUGCUAUCUUUAUGAAAAAUAUGAUUGUUUCUUGCAUCUAUUGGUUUAUAGUCUGACCAAUUGAACUUUUCAGGCACCAGGAGAGUCACUAAAGCUGAAAAAGUUGAAAGUUCUCAUUGAAGAGCAUUCAUCUUCCUUCUUUUCCAAUUUCUCUUCAAGGAGUGAGGCUCUUGCUUUCUUGAAACAAAAGGUAUGGAUAUCCAGCUACAUUGAUUUCAUCUACUAAGCUUACCCUAUUACUUGUGAUUGAUAAUGAUAAGGGAACCCAUAAUUUGUCAAGUUCUUUGCUGCUUCCUUGCCUUCCACUGAACCAUAAUUUUUUUGAGGAUAAAUUACUUCUUAGUCUCCUAGUUAAAUCAAAAUUAACACACAUAUGAUGUAUCUCUUAUCCAUAUUUGAAAACAGUGUUUUCAAGUUUGAUAAGUCAAAAUGCACAGAUUAAAUUAUUUAUUGCGAAUUUUACUAUUUAGUCCCUUGUUAUAAGUAAACUCACUAGUUGGUCCCUCAGUUUUGAAAAUUACCCGACAAUUUUAAAAAAUCUACUAGUUAAUCAUUCUAUUAGUUUUAUCUACUAAGUGUUCAAGUGUUUUAUUAUUUAGUCUUUAUAGUUUGAAAAAACUUAUUAGUUGAUCCCUCAAUUUUAUAAGUUUACUAUUUAGUCCCUCCGUAUUGAGAGUAUUUAAGACUUUUUUUUGUAAUAUUUAAUAGCCUAAGUUAAUGGAGGAAUUAAUUAGUAGACUUUUUAAAAUGUCAGGGACGUUUUAAUGUAUUUUUCCAAACUGAGAGACCAACUUAAAGACAAUAAUAAUUUUUCCUUAUUUAUUUAUGAAAAAUAGAGUGACACAAGUGUUGAUUUUGAAAUAAUUCAAGUAUAAUGGAAAUUUGAUGAGUAAUUGGAGGAGGAACUCUUAGUUGAUAUAGUCCGAAAUAUAAUUCUAAACUGUUGAUUUUAAAAAAUUGAGGGACAUAUAUUCUAAUGUUAAUGUAACUUAGGAAUGAAAAAUUAAUUUACCCUUAUUAAUGUAAUGUGAGCUGAACGUUUGACAAGUGGAUGAAUUUUCUGUUCUGAAUGAAGAUUCACCAAAAUUUUAAAUUCCCCCUUCUUGCAUUUCUUGCUUUCUAUAUCCUGUUGUGACACUUUCUGUUGUGGCUGCAGCUGGAAGGAAGCCGUAAUUUCUCUUUAGAAGGAAAAAGAGUGAGACUCACGUGCAGGAGAGGCUGAAAUUUUGGUUAGGGAUUCAGUUGCCUGCACCGGUCUGUAUAUUGCAGCUGAGACUGGUUGCUCUCUUAGGAAUUUUUUAAUCCCCACAAUCAUUAAUCAUGCUCCAUUUGUAUCAUUUGGCUAUAUAAAAUUCAUUUUAGUUGCAAGAUUGGAUUAAUUGUACCACAUAAUUACUGAAACAAAUUUUGUUGGAGUAAUGUAUGAAUGACAAGAAACGUCAUAUAAGUUUUAUGGAAGUUAUUCUAUACAAUGCUUGAACUAGGUUUUGCCACGGGCUGAACCUAUGAACCAGGUUUUAUUUUGAUUCUCAACGGGCUCUAGCUUGAACAAUGUAUUGUUUCUAUCACGUUCUUGUUUUCUGUCUGCCUUGGAAUAGCUGCUCUAAUCAUGGCCAUCUUCUCCUUAGAGCAUAUUCGCUAUGCUCUACAUAUGAUGGCCCGUUAAGUUCAACGAAUCACCUAAGCUUGAGGCCGGAUUGCAGGGAAGCUAUACCAGGAUAAAAAGAAGGGCGAGAUUGAGAAGGCUCUUGAAGCAGAUAAGAAAGUUGGCAAAUAUCCCGUGAGCAUACAACCACCGAGUCGCUAAAAAAGCAGUGAAUGGUGGAAGGAUCCGUGAAUGUAUUCUACUCUGGAGUUUACAUCUGGUGCUAUUUAAGAAGUUGAAUGCGAGGAAUCUCACAUGAUAACCAUCAUUUAAGUUCUAAAAGCGGCGUAUUUAAAAAGUCUGCUUCGCUUCACGGAUAUAAUCAUGAGGUCGAAAGCAAAAGGGCGGAAAAAAAAAGCUCAGUGUUCUUUAAUUUGGCGACGCAAAGAAACACAUUAGUGCCUUAGGCUUCACGGUUUUCACACGCUAUUCUCAAACUCUCUUCCAAAAGGAGGGAAACGAAUCCUCCCUUUACAUUGACGAAGGGAGGAACAGAACAUGGUAGUAAGCUGCACACUGACAUGGCUGCUAGUAGUAGCAAAGACUCAACAGAGGGUGCUCAUCCCACUAAAAUCAAAGGAGUGCCCACACAUGGUGGUCGCUAUGUUCAAUACAAUGUGUAUGGUAACUUGUUCGAGGUCUCCAGUAAGUACGUGCCUCCCAUUCGCCCCAUCGGUCGCGGCUCUAUCGGCAUUGUUUGGUAAUCUUUUCUGUCUCCCCUCAGCAGAGCCAAUUUUAUGUGAAACAAAUAGAGAGAGUUGCAUAUUUUCUAUAUUAAAAUUAUUUAUAUACUCUUCACAUCAUAUCAUAAUAAAAAAGAGUUGAUACUAUUGUCUUUUACAAAGUAACUACAAUACAUCAAAACCUGCCUAAUAAUCUCUAGCUAAUUGUUAUUUUGAUUCAUCUUCCUCUUUUGAUCAUGUUGUUUGAUUUCUUGGAUAGUAUGAUUAAUGAUCUUUCCGGCAGGACUUGCUCAAUUUAUCAAGGAUUGGGAGGUAAACAAUGCCCCAAAAGCGGCUUAAAUUCAAUCAAUGACCUUUUUGAUACACAAAGGGCGUGGAAGUAGUUUGUUUCUAGGCAAAUUAUAGAAUACUUGGGUAGCAUGUUUACAUACACCAUCGUCUAACCCAAAAAAAAAAAAAAAAAUCAGUUUUUCCUUGAAUAUGGAAGGUGAGAUAUAUGCUUUGUGAGUAAGCAAGCACAUACACUAAAUGUACUGUAUAAUUUUCCAUGUUUCUGUGGUUUACUUCUAGAUGGGGCAAAUGGAUAAUUUUCACAUUCAUGUUGCAGUAGUUCAAAUUUAUUUGUUCAUAUUGAUAACUCUCAUUAAGUUAUAUAUCUCUUUGAUAAGUGCAUAGAUUUGUGAAAAGAUUUUUUCAUGUUUGGAGCUUUGGCAUAUAUGGCUUCAACUACCCUUUCCAACUUAUUACAUACCUUGAAGGACAGACAAUUCUGGUGUGUUUCUCAACAGAAACUUAAUCUGUAAUACAAAAUAAAAUCUCUGUUCACAUAAUGAAACUCCAUGAAAGAUCCAUUUGUUAGACCUAAUGAAACUCCAUGAGAGAUCCAUUUGUCAGACAAUUAAGUGUAUGGUGGAAAGAGUGGUAAUACAAAGAAAUGUUUUCUUUUCAGUGCUGCUAUGAAUUCAGAGACACGCGAGGAAGUUGCCAUUAAGAAGAUUGGAAAUGCAUUUGACAACAAAAUAGAUGCCAAAAGAACAUUGAGAGAAAUCAAGCUUCUUCGCCACAUGGAUCAUGAAAAUGUAAAUUUCUGUAAGCCUUGAAUCUCCAAAAAUUUAUUCUUAUUGUUGCAUUCUGUUUUCCUGCUUAUUUUUGCCAUGUACAUUUCUCUCUUGCACCAAAUUCACAUUACAGGAGGACAAACUGGCUGUAUUUUAGUACUAAAUGCAUACUUGGCAUGAUAGGGAUCCUAAAUAUUUAUUUGUUUUAAGCAUAUUUCAAUACCAUAGAUUCAGGAAAAUGGAUGUGUGUUCUGCUGAAACACAACUUUAAAUCCAUGUCUUGACUAGAAUAUUUUGUACAUGCCAAUAAUUGAAUAUUCUGCGCACCAUCAUUGCAACUGAACUAGAAUCCUUCUUAUAGAUCCUGUAUGAUUUUGUUGGUUUACCUUCAUUUGUGUGUUUGGAGGCGGUUCUGUAUCUUCACUCUUCCAUUUCUUCCCUUUAUCGUGCUUAGUUUUCACCUCCUUCAUCCUUGCACAGGUUAUUGCUAUCAGGGAUAUUAUACGACCACCAAAAAAGGAGGCUUUCAAUGAUGUGUAUAUUGUUUAUGAAUUAAUGGACACUAAUCUUCAUCACUUUAUUCAUUCAGAUCAGCCGCUGACUUGCGACCACUGCCAGGUUUGGCACCCAGAACAACCUUUGGGUGUUUCUUAUUUUCCCCUCAUAAUUAGUUUAGCUGAAAAUAUCACAGCUCAUCAGGUGCUUUUUUUGUUGAUUGAUGAACUCUAUAUAAUCAUAUAUAUAUAAUGAUAAUAUACCUUAGACUUGAGAUCAUAUAAAGCAAAGCUGACAUAUGAAAAGGUUAAGCGGCAUAUUGGUGAUUAUUGCAUUUGAAGCUAGAUUAAAUAGCUUGGAAUUGAUAGAUUCUCAAUGAAAUCUAUGCAGUACUUCUUGUAUCAGUUGUUACGAGGACUGAAAUAUGUGCAUUCGGCCAAUGUCCUGCAUCGUGAUCUUAAGCCCAGCAAUUUGCUUCUCAAUGCAAAUUGUAGUCUCAAAAUUGGAGACUUUGGAUUGGCAAGGACAACAUCUGACACAGAUUUCACAACUGAGUAUGUUGUCACUCGUUGGUACCGAGCACCAGAGUUGCUCCUUAAUUGUUCUGAGUACACUGCAGCAAUUGAUAUUUGGUCUGUCGGUUGCAUCCUUGGUGAAAUUAUGACCAGAGAGCCUUUGUUUCCUGGAAAAGAUUAUGUUCAUCAGCUGAGGCUUAUCACUGAGGUAUGAGUUUUGGAGCUAGUAUGUAACUAUGACAGGUUCCCAGUGUUCAAAGUAUCCUUUGAACUUGUUAACUUUCAGACAGCAGGGUAAACGAUUGGUUUAUUACAUGUUGCAAGAGCUGUCAAGUGAAACAGUGUCCUCUUGUGUUCCAUGGAUUACUGAGAAAAUUUACUCUUUUCAUUAAAUUGCUACUAGUAAAAUAGCUACAUGUAUUUUUUCUUUCUUUUUGUGUAACAGUUAAUAGGUUCACCUGAUGAUGCUAGCCUUGGAUUUCUCCGAAGUGAUAAUGCUCGAAGAUAUUUUAGACAGCUUCCAAAAUACAAAAAGCAGAACUUCUCAGUGAGGUUUCCUAAUGUGUCUCCUGGAGCUGCUGAUCUGCUGGAAAAGAUGCUUGUUUUUGAUCCCAAUAAGCGCAUUACAGGUACAAGGAAACAUUUCAGUUUUUAAGACCAGCACUGUACUUGGUUUUUUAUUAUACUCCAACAUUCGGUAAUUAUACCUCUGCAUCUGUUUGCAGUUGAUGAGGCACUUUGUCACCCAUACUUGUCAUCUCUUCAUGACAUCAACAACGAGCCUGUCUGUCCCAGGCCUUUCCAUUUUGAUUUUGAUCACCCAUCAUGUACUGAAGAGCACAUCAAGGAGCUCAUCUGGAGGGAAUCAGUGAAGUUCAAUCCGGAUCCUCCAGCUUAUUAGGAGGAACACAUUGGGAAGAGGGAUAAUAUCUUUCCCUUGACCACACUAUUGUCUAUCAGCAUUUCCUGGGAGUACCUGAACCUCGCAUUCGUAGACUAUGAAACGUGAAGUUCAAGGGCUAUGGGUGCUUCUAGUUUUAUCCAUUAAGUGCAUAUCUUCUGUAAGUAGUAGUACUAGUUGGGAGUUUUAGGGGUAGGAGCAUAUGAAAGAUUGAGGCAUUAAGCAUGUUGUGUUGCUCAUGGAUCUGAUUUCUAUUUGCCAUAUCUAUAAUAUCUAUUUAUCUAUAUAUAAUAAGGCUGGUCUCAAUAAAUUUUGACACUUGAUGGUUUAUAUCAUCAACAGGUGACUUUCUGAUAUUUUCUAAUAAAUUUGUCUAAACUAUCCUCUUUUAUUAACUAUGUCAUGCUGGUUUCCUUUAUGCAAUUAUAAAUUCUAGAUUUUUUUGUGCAUGUUUAGUUUUAAAAAUUAUAAAAAUUCAUUUGUCUCAUGAUUAUUCUCCUCAAAACUAAAUAACCAUUAUUUCUACUUUAACAUAUAUCAUUCUUUUCAUUCAUGUACUUUACAUACUAACAUUUUUAUUUCCAUCAUUAGACAUAUUGAGAUAUGAACCAUUGAGAAAAUUGUAGGCAAAGUUUCUCCCAAAUAAGUUUUUUCAAGAAUUUACAAUCUCAUCUCAUAAAUAUCCUCCUCUUUGGGCUUCUAUUGAAUCGAGAAAUGGGUUUGAUUGUCCAUUUUUUCCGGAAAGGGCAAUUCUUGAGUGAAUUGAAUGGAUCCGUAAUAUAAAUAUUUGAGAUUUUAUAUGGAUCCGCUGUAAUUUACCACACAUGGACUCAAUCCAGAUAAGUAUUUUCUGUUUUGCACAAUUCUCAUAUGCAACUACAGAGAUACUCCACAGAAAACUUCUCUGCUCUCUGAGCUUGGUUAUAGUUUCCAUGUGUUCAACUAUUCAACUAUCUCCAUUUAUUCUAAUGGAGAUUUGUGGGUAUAGUUGAGAUCACUGUAAUGGUUCAUAGAUUGUGCGGACUAACUUCAAUCUGAAUUGUUAAUAGUACAAUAGAAAAUAAAUUGCCCUGUACAGAAACUCAGUUCUGAGUCACAAAUUCUUUCUACUGGAAGAGCACAUCUUUACCUCAAUAUUCUGUAUUGGUAAGCCAUCUUCAGGAAAAUUGCAAGAUGCAGUCUCCCCUGGCCCCUGGUCAGUGAGCAGAUCACAAGGUUUAGGUGUCACGCCGCUCGAAAGCCCUGCAAUUUCAGUGCAAUUCCAUUGAAGCUUCUUUGGUUUUUGUGUGAGCCCAAUGGUGACAUUAGAUAUGCAGAUUCCAGUGAAGGGAUCACCAGCAAUGCCCUCCAAUCUAGCUGCCAUUGUUACAUUCUCGGCAACCAUGUCCCUAUAGUUGAUAUUCUUAAUCUCAGGAAUUGCAUUAGGAUCAUAGUUAUUGUCAGGAUGAGAGCCAUAAUUUCCUGUCAUCCAGAAUACCCAUUUCAUAGUUUUCAUUGUCAUCUUUCUCACAUAUAUAUCCUUUACAAAACCUCCUCUUCCCACAGAAGUUUUGAUCCUAACUCCUGAUUCUGUAUCAAUGGCUGUGAUAUCUUCUGCUCUGACAUCUUGGAUUCCACCAGACAUCUCACUCCCCAAUGCAAUUGCUGCACUGAAUGGAGAAAUGCAAGUGAGCCUUCUGAUUACAAGCUGCUUUGUAGGCAUCCCAAAUGCAAUACCAUAUUCAUCCCACCCACUCUUAACAGCCACACAAUCAUCUCCAGAGACAAUGUAACAAUCCUCAAUUCUGGUGUUGGUGCAUGAAUCUACAGAAUUAACAGAAUCCAUAAUCAACCCAUUAAGUGUAAGUUAACAAAUUUUCACAACAUGGAUAUUUGGAAUCAAUUUUCAAAGUUCACCUGGGUUGAUCCCGUCAGUGUUUGGAGAAGUCACUGGUGCAAGAAUUGUUAAGCCUUGUGCAACAACAUUGCUGCAUUCAAUAUUCAUUUGAUCAGAUCGAAAAAAUCUAAAAGAAUUGAGCAUAGUAGGGACAAUAAAGAGUACCUGCUAUAAACAGGAUGCACAUUCCAUGAAGGAGAGUUUAUCAAUGUGAGGUUGGAUAUCUGAAUGUUACUGGAGUACAGGAUUUCAAUCAGGUAAGGCCUGGUGUAGUUCAAUUCUCCAUUGCGGAAUUUUUUCCACCAGACAUCACCCUGACCAUCAAUUGUGGCAUUGGCACCUGAAAAACAUAAUUUUCACCAUCAAUAUGUGAUACAUUUCUUGAUAAUUUUGAGUGUCUCAUUAAAUUUACUGGGAAACUUUACCUGUUAUUAUAACAUCAGUAAGGUUGGUUCCGAAAAUGAGACUGCUAUACCUUCCACCUUCUGUAUCUCUUCCUCUACCAUAGGAUGGCAAUGGUUCAAUCACUGGCCAUUCACUCUCAUCCUAAUCAAAUUUCCAAAAUGCAGGACAUGUUAAGCUCACAAUUAGACAACAAUUUAUAAUCAAGAAAUGACGUCAUAAAUUGGAGACUUCAAUGAGACUGAAUAAGCAAAACUCAUGAAAAGGGUGAGUUUAGCUCGUGAGUGCUGAUCCAAUUAUCUGCUAGACUUUUCCAAGCUGCAGUUUUCACUACAAGCAUUUAUGUCUCAAGUUCCUGUCUAUUGGUUACUGCCCUAUUCUAGAAUCUAGACAUUGAGGUUGGCCUUGUCCCCAGAGAUCCUAAAUCAACAUGUGGUGUUGUGUAAUUGAAAUUUGCAGCACUGAAAAUGGAAUAAUUGGUGUUAAAGAGUGAAAAUUGGGAUUACACAUUGAGAGCCAAUGAUGCUAUUAGGACAAAACUGGAUUAAAGGUGACAACUUUUUAUCCUGACAGGAUGAAAAAUUCAUUAACUGAAUGAAAACCAUGUAGCUAAAGUUUCUGACCUGAGAGGCAAUUAGAACAGCAUCCUUGUCAAGAUAGAGAGUGAAAUGGCUAGUGAGAUUGAAACUUCCAGUUAACCAUCUUCCUGCAGGAACAUAGAGUUGGGAUCCCCCAUCUGAUGAGAACUGGCUCAGAUGAUCAAUUGCAGCUUGAAAAACUUUAGUGUUUGAAGUUUCUCCAUCACCAACACCUCCAAAAUCUGUCAAUGAUGCCUCAUGAGCUCUGCAACUUAUAGCUGGAUACUCAAAGAAUUCCAAUUUGGGACUUAUUUUGCCAUCAACUCCACUCGUACAAAGAAACAGCAAAACACCAAUUACUACCACAGCAUCCAUCACCUGUCCAAUCCCAUCAAGUACAUUAAAGAGCAGAGAAAUUCAUUUUUCUGCCAUUUCUCCAUUGUGACAGAACCAAGAAAAUGACUGAAAUCUCAGAACAAAUCAGAGGGAGAGAAAGGGAGACUUACCUGAAAUUUUCUGAGAAUGGUCCACAAUUCCACUGCACCAAACACAGGUUGGUUUGGUUUUUAUAUAACUUUUUUCAAUGUAGCCAAGGCAUCAAAGCUACAAAUAGUAAUUUUCUGCCUUCUGAUUUCUACAUAAUAUAAGAUAAUGAGACUGUUGAAAAAUUACAAAUUUAGCCUGGGUUAGAUUGCUUAAGAUUUAGAAGAAAGAAACUUGUGAGCCUUGUAAGAAAGAAAUUGACACAUUGUUUAACUUGAAAGUAGAUGCAUCUAUAGGAAUUGGCGGCCGGCAAGUCCUCCAGCAAAUAUGGACAAGAAAUGGAAGCUUGGGUCAUUCUUGACAGGGGCAAGGAAUGUGUAAGUUUUGGUUUUUGUGGGUAUUUUUCUUAUGAGCUAUUUUAGAAUAACUAUGUUUACACAUGACAAAAUAGACAUUAAGACAAUGAAAACAGGAAAAAUGGGAUUUUAAGAUGAAUUCAUGCCCACAUCCUCUUUGAUCAAAUGGCUAAAUUAUUAUUAUUAUUAUUAUUAUUAAAAAAAAAAUUACUAUUUAAUAACUUAUUAAAUGGCCAUUAAUUUUGAAAAAUAUAAAAAAAAUUUCUUCAAAUUUUAAAAAAUCUACUAAUAAAUUACAUCAUAAUCUUUAAUUUGAAAUUACCGAACACUUCAAUUGCUAAGUUUAUAAUUUUAAAAUGAAAUUAGAAACUCUUAUUCUCUAUUUCAAAUUCAUAAUUUUUUUUUUAAAAUUCAAUUCAAUUAAUUUAUUUUUUAAUAAUUUUCCUGCUUAAAAUGAAAAAAAAUAAUUAAUUAUUUUUUUUAUACAAAUUAAAUUAUAUCAAAGAGAAGCUUAACUUUUAUAAUUUUAUUAAAUUUACGUGGGCGAGAUUGAAGGGGAAGAGAUUGGGAUCUUGAAACUUGAAGGAAGGGAAAUGGAUGGUGAGGAUUGGCCCACCUUCUGGCUUGUAGUGGUACACAAAUACUAACCCGUGAACUUUUCUCAUUGCCUUUCACUGGCUAUCUUAUAGGAGACAAGAGAUGACCAAACCCCACAUGAUAUCAUAUUUUGCUAUUAUUAAUACAAGAGUAUCUAUUCCUUCUAAUACUUUAUUCAAGAGUUUUCACUAUUUAGCAAAUUUAUUUCUAUCUAAUGAAUCUAGGUUGAUCAUUUCUAAUCCAAUAAAUUAAAAAUUAAAAUUUUAAUAUUUAUAAAAAUUAAAUUGAAUUGAUUUUAAAUAAAAUUAAUUUGAAUCGAUUUAAUUUAAUUUAAUUAAUUGAACUUUUUAUUAAAUUUUUUAAUUUUUAUAUAUUUUAAAAUUUAAUUAAAAUAUUUUAAUUUUAUUUAUAAUUUAAUUUUUCUAUAUUAUUAAAAAUAAUACAUUAUCAUCGAUUUGAUUUAAUUUUAUUAUUUUUUAUUUAUUAAAAUUAAAUAAAUUUAAAUAAUUUAAAUUUUUAAAAAUAAAAAUUAAAUUAAAUUGAAAAAAUAAAAAAUUAAAUUAAAAUUUUAAAUUAAUUCAGUUACGUUAAUUCGAUUUUAACUGAAUAUGGCUGAUCGCGAUUGAAUUAAAUGAAUGACUAUUCACAAAUGAAAGGAUAAUUAAAUUCAUGCAAUAAAGGAAAAGUUUUCCAAUUCAUUACCUUAAAAGAUGUAUAGCCGUAAAAUAGGAUCAAAUGGAGCAAAAUUAAUUGGAUAGUAGUGGGCUUGAAUUGAUCGGCUCAGACUGUAAACUAGAUUGAAAUUAGAUCGGUUAAUCAAUUUUAAUUCUGAAUCAAAUUAAAAUCAAUUAUAUGCUUUGUUUUAAUCAAAAUUAAAAUUACAUCGACACUAAUCGAUUCGAAUUGGUUUAAUUUUAAUUUUAUUUUAAAUUUUUAAAAUAAAUCAUUUUAUAAAAUUAUGCCACUUAAAAUUAAGAUAUAUAUAAAUUAAAUUAUCAAAUAAUUAAAUUUAAUUUUUUUACUCAAUUAUAAGUAUUAUUUCUAUUUAAAUGUAAUAUUAUUUUAAUUUUAUAUUUUACGUAAUAUUAUUUUAUCUUUUACGGUAUCAUGCAAAUGGCACAUUUUAUAAAAUUUACUUAUCUAUUCGAUUAUUAAUUCAAUAAUAUUUAAUAUUUAUAUUUAUUUCUUUAUAAAAUUUCUUAAUAUUUAUACUUAAUUUCAUCUAAAUUUUUUAAAUUUAAAUUUUUUAAUCGAAAUUUAUUAACUAUUUAAAAUUUAAAUUUAAUUAAAUUUAAAUUUGUAACCAUAAAAAAUUAUAAUCAUAACCGUUAUAAAAUUAAAUUGAAAUCGAAUUAAAAUAGUAAAAAAUUGAAUAAUUUGAUUGAUCAAACUGCUAAUUUCAAAUCAAAAUCAACCAUUGGCCAAGAUAGAUGGUAAAAUCAUGAAAACACCUAUUUCUUUAAUAUCUUAGGCAUAACUGUUUGAUAAUAAAAUUUAUAAUUAUUGUUAAAAAAAUAUAAUUUAGAGGCUUUUAUAAAAAAAUUCAAAUAUUUACAGCAAUUUAUAUUAUAUUCAAUCAACAUUUUAAAUUUUAAAUGAUAAAGGUAAAAUUCAUUAAUUUGCUAUAAUUAUAGUCAAUAGAAUUAAAAAAUUAAUGAUAAAUUUAAAUUUUAUAUUAACAUUAAAUAUAUUUUAUAUUUAUUAUAUGUAAUAUUAAAUAUAUUAUAAAUAUUUAUUAUAAAUAAAUUUAUAUAUUAAAUAAUAUUAUAAAUUAUAUACAUAUUUUUUAUAUUCGAAAAACUUCACUUUCUAUUAAUAAUAUUUUAAAUAAAAUAAAAUAUUAUAUAUUUUAAAUUGUAAAAUUUUAUUUUUUUUCAUAUUUUAAGUUUUUAUUAAUAAUUUAUAAUAUUAUAUAAAAUUAAAAAUAAAAAAUAAAUAAUGAGAUUAAUAAAAAAUGACAUUUUUAUAAUAAAAAUAUAUAUUUAGAAUUAUUUUAUUAAUCGAUUAGAAUUUUAAAAAUUAUGUUAUAAUUUAGUACGAACUUUUUUAAAUUUAAUUUAAUUUUAUUGAUUAUAAUUACAGUAAAUUAAAAAAAAUUAACUUUAUCAAUCAAAAUUUAAAGAGUUGAAUAUAAAUAUAAAUUAUAAUAAAUAUUUUAAAAAAAAUUUCAAUAACCCUAUAAUUUAUGAUGUAUUUUUUAAAAUUUUUCUCAAAGCUACUUUCUACUCUAUACACACACAUAAGCAUAUUCGUUUACAUAGGCAUAUGCAUUUCAGAUAAAUGUGAAGUUCAAAAUUAAAUUAUUGUAAAUAUAAACUCUGUAGACUCUUCAUGCGAGUAAAACUUUGUUGAUUUAGACAACCAUAAAUCAAAUGUUUAUAUAUAUUCUUUUUGCUAAUUAAUGUUAAUUAAUUAAUUAUAUAUAAAAUCUCAACAUAAAUAUUAAUAACGAUAAUAAAAUUUAUUGAAUUAUAAUUAUUUAAAUACCGUAAGAAAUUUUAAUCAAUAACGUGUAAUUAAAUCAAAAUUUAGAAAAUUAAAACUAAAAAUUAAAAUUUUUUUAUUGAAUUUUAAAAAUUGAAAAGUAUGUGAAAUAAUAAAAAAACAAAAAAUUUUAAAAAAAUAAUUAAAAAAUAAAAUUGACUCCUAAAAAAUAGAAUUUGAAUUUUGAACUUAUUACUAAGCACGAGGCUCUCGUUGUAUUUCUGAAAGUCGUCUGUCUCGAAUUUUUUUUCAAAAGUUAAUGUGAACCUUCAACGGAUUCAACGGAUAGAAAAUCGAUUCAAGUCUUCUCUAAAAUUUAAAACUAAUUAAUUUGCAUCUCUAUUUGUUUAUAAAUCAAACUUAAAUUUUGUUUUAAAGAUAUAUAUACAAAUUCAGGGAAAGAAAUAUAUAAAAAAAAAUAGUAAAAUAUACGACGCCGUUGAAGUUAACAAUAACAGCAUGAUAUAGGUAGUAUAUAUAAUAGAACAACCUCAAUCAUAACGAAUUAAUUAAUUCCAAGUUCCAACCAAUGCCUAAAUCAGUAACCCAAGAGGGACAGAUGAACCUCUAAUAUUAUUUUUGGCUCACGCAUGUAAGGGGGCACAUGCAAAUGGAAGAGGGUGAGGAGUUUCAUGCAGUAAUUCAUGCACAUGAAAGAAGAGAAAACUAAGACUAGCACCACUGAGAAUUAAGGAAAAAGAAAGUGAUCUACAUUUCAAAUGGAAAACAAGUUGAAAUUGCAAACCCGAUCUCACACUGAAAUUCAAGUUCAACUUAAUAUAGAUCCACUGAAAAGUGAAGGAUUACUGAAUUUGCAUAUACUUCUGUCCAUGGUGAAAGGAACACAGAAGUCAUCAUGCCAAUUUCCAAGGAAAAUGGUUUUGGUUUGGACCCUUUUAGAAUCCAAACGGGUAAGGUUGUUACCUUUUGGUUUCUAAAUUUGGACAUGAAAGAUAAUCUUCGAACUGAAACUAUUUGAGAAUCCCCAGAAACAGCUGCAGAUUGUUUAGCUAGAGCUGUCCCAUCUGGCAAUAUCAUGCACUCAUGCCUGCGGAUUAUUAUUUCUUUUUAACCCACCUUAUGGAGGUUUUGUUGUAUGAUUUCUUUUUUUAAUUUUUUCUUUUUGUCAUAAAUUUACAAAAGAAGAAAGAAAAUGCCUAAAUUAUUAGCUAAGCUUGUUAAUAAGUUUCGUGGGUUUAAAAGGAAAGAACAGAAACAUCCUUCCCUUAUUAUAUAGACAAAUCACACAAAGCUGUCUAAUACUCUAAUUUGCUUAACUACAAUUUGCAGGACAGACACAUAUUCUACACUUAAAAUUUCAUCAACAAUAAUGGGAUAUGAGCUGAUAACCCUCUUUUAUUUUGUUUUAACUGUUUUCCCUGAAAUCCCUUAUUAUAUAUAUAACUGGAGAAAUUAAGAAACAUUACUUAUCUCCAAAGAGAUACCCAAGAGAUGAAUCUCCUCCAGGCACCGACUUGACUUUUGUAGAAGGUCGAUCCUGAAUAAAACCAUGUUUUAACUAGGUUAACAAUCAUAUAUAGUUGUUAUAAGCAUACUUGUAAUUUUAUAAUUAAUUAAGAAGCCAAGCUAGAUUAGCUCACAGUAAUAAAGUUGCCAGAAUUCUGGCCUUGAGCUCGGUGAUAGUUGUUUGAGACCUUUUGUUUCUCAGAUGAAGAAUUGCUCGGAGGCUUCUCCUCGGAGAUAGUAUCAAUCCCAUAUGGGGGUAGGUUGGCAAUCCGGGAAGGCGGUGGAGUUGGUUGCUCUUCAGACCCAAAAAGAUAUCCUAAGGAACUCUGCCUCCCACCGUAGCUUCCACCUCUACUCAUGGCUGCGUAGCUGAAAAUCAAGAUCUGUCAAUUGUGUAAACUACAAACAAAUGAAAGAAAGCAAGCUGAUUAACCCUAAUAUAUACUACUUUUGCUCUGAGUUAUGUAUGUGGAACUCAUGAUCAUGAUGCAUGAUAUAUAUAUAUAUAUGAUGAUCAUGAUUCACCUACUUGGUCAUCAUAUUUGCUCAUUAUUGCACAUAGAGACCUAACAAAUGAAAAGUUUCAAUCUUUUUUAUGGAGAUAAUUAAUGUCGUGCUGUUAUAUUUUACUAUAAUUAAUUAAAAUAUAUUUUUAAUUUUAAAAUUACAUUAAAAUUUGCUUAUAUUUUAAUUCCGUUAAUUUCUAUAUAUUUUUAUUUUUAAAUUUUUCCUAAAUAAUUAAAAUACUCCAAUAGUUUUAAGAUUACAUUAAAUUACCCUUAUAUUUUUAAAAUAUUAACUAAAAAAGAUAUUUGUUAGUUUUUAUUAUCCAUUUUUAUUUUUAAUUUAUUAGUUAAACCUGAAAAACGUAUUCAUAUUUACCGUUUUUAUCAAAUAAAACUCACCACUUAUCUCAUUUCGAUUUGUUUCUAUAUUUUUUUUUUAUUAUAUUCUCUCGUGUAUCUCUAUAUUUUUUUUAUUUUCGAAAGUGAAAUAAUUUAUAAACCCUAAAUUUCUCAAUUUUUUUCAUAACUCAAAAUAAAACUCAAUUUUUUUAUGGCUGAGCAAUUGAUCAAAACAUUACAUUUAAGUUAAGCAAAGUGCAGCUUAUAACUUAUUUGUUUAAAUGGUAAGUUUCUAUAAAAUGCUCUCUUUGCUGUAUAAAUAAGUGUAGAAUGCAAUCAAUAAAAUUCAAUUUCCUUUACUUAUCAAUUACAUUUGCAGAUAAUAUGACAAUCAUGAGCUAAAUGAUAAAAUUGAUGAAUAGUAGAUCAAUGGUGAAUUUUAUUUAAUAUGAGUUUAAUUUCAACAUACAAUUAUUUUUUUUUAAUUUUGGCCCAAUGAAUUAAUGAUAAAAAUGGAUAGAAAUUAAUGAGUAUUAUUUUUAGUUAAUAAAAUAAAAAUAUAAAAGUAUUUUAAUUAGUUAAAAUAAAUUAUAGAGGUAUAAUAUCAAAUUUUUUUUUUAAUUUUGACUAAUAUAGUAAAGAAUGUUUUUUUAAUUAACUGAAUCAAAAUAGAGUAUUUUAAUAUAAUUCUAAAAUUAUAAAGAUAGGGUAAAUUAUAAAGGCAUAAUAAUAUUAUCUUAUUUUAUAUAUAUAAAAGUUAUAAAAAAAUUUGUAUGCUUAACCUUUUAAGUUUAUUAAAUUUCAAAAAUUCAAAUAUGUGACGUGAUAUUUUUUAAAAGGGAUAAUAUAAAAAAAUGCUUUAUAUUUUUGUGCAUUUUUUGAGUCAUUGUCAAAAGUUAAUUUUAUGGAAAAAAAUGACUAUGUUUUUUUUUAUUAAUAAAAUAAUAUUUUUUAUUAAUAUUGUUAAAUUUUGAUAAAAUGCAUUAAAUAUUUAAUUAAAAAUAAGAAAAAGUAUAAAACGUAUCUUCUGACUUUACACUUUUUUUUUCAAAUUAGGGUCUGAGACUAAUUUUAGAACAAAAAGAUCCUAUCAUUAACAGUAUUAUUUUUUUAUUAAUUUAAGUAAAUUUUGAUAAUAAGCUAUUAAAUAUUUAAUUAUAAAUACGAGUCCUAUUUAAAAAAUUAAAAAAAAUAUAAAUUUAAUCCAUGUCACUCUUAAAUCUACUCUAAUGUGUGAGUUGUUGAUGCCCAUAAGCUCGUUUAGAAGUGAAAAUACUUUAUCCUAUUGAAUUCUAAAGCUAUGUUUUUAAUUAGUUAGGCAGUUAAAAGUUAUGGUUAAUUAGCAGAGUUAAAUCAAGAUAAUGGGCGAUUCUAACAGGGAAAUUAAAAAAAAAAAAAAUGUGGAAAAUUCAGAUAGAGUUGUGCGGUUGGGAGAGAACCUGGAGGGCAAGGGGAGUUGAUUCAUCAAUAUCAUCGGCAGCAUCACUACUCCUGGUUGGGUUGGUCAAGAAAUAAGCAGGUACCUACUACGUAAAGAUCAUCAGAUCAACUGUACGCAUAGCUAUUUAUAAAAGCGUGAAUAGAAUCUUUAGAAAAGAUGCAUGGAAGAGACAAGGAGCAAAAGGUAGCCACAUAAACAUUAUAUAUAUGUAAGGUGGUGGUGUUACAUGUUAUGAAGGCUUUUUGCAGUAGCCAGUACUGGCAGGGUGGUGGAACAAACGUUAUUAAGAUGUCUAUGGUCCUAUAAAUAUUUUUCAUGUGUGACAUGACCACUGUGGGUUUUCGCACAGUUAUUUUUUGCACUCGAUCUAUACGAUUGAUUAUUAAAUAUGGUUUUAUGGUUAGUCUGCAAACUCUGAAUGCCGAAAGCAUUCUUGAAGUGAUCUCAUAGUUCUUAUGAGGCAAUAAAAUUGACCCAUGAAUUUCUUUUUUAUUUAAACGCAUUUCACGAAAAGAUUAAAGGGAUAGUACAUCAAAUUGUCCACAAGCGUCAACUUAAUCUUCAUUCUAGAGAUCCCAAAGAUGGGGAUAUCCACCGCUCAAGAGUAGAAAAGUAGGAGGCCGCCACCAAAUUGCCAACCACAAUAUCCUAUGUUGGGUAUUUGGACUUGACGACUAUGACUUAUAUUCAAAAUAUAUAUAUAUACACACAUAAGGCUUAUUAAAAGAAAAAUUCAAAAGUUUGCAAUAAUUCAUGUUUAUAUUUAAAAUUUUAAAUAUUAAAUAAUGAAGUUAAAUAUUUUUAAUUUUUCAUGAUUAUGGUUAGAAUAUUAAAAAAUUACCAAUAAAUUACAAUAUCUUUUAAAAUUUUAUUUGAUUAAUAAAAUAAUUCUUAAAAUAUAUUUUUUAUUUCAAUAAUAUUUUUUUAAAUUCUAUUAGUUACUCAUCAUUUUCACUUUUAUAUACAUAUAAUAAAUUAAUAAAAACUUAAAAUAUAAAAAAACUUAAUAGUCUAAUUAAAGCAUAUCAUAUUUUUUUAUUUAAUAUUAUUAAUAAGAAGUAAAAUUUUUUAUAUAUGAAAAAUGUAGAAAUAAUUUAUAAUAUUAAGAAUAAAUAUAUUCAAUGAAAUACUUUAAUAUAUAAUAUUUAUAUGAGACACUUUAUAUAAAAGAAAUUUAUUUAUAAUAAAUAUUUAUUCAAUAUAAUAUAUUUAAUAUUAAAUGUUACAAAUAUAAAAUAUAUUUAUUUUUAAUAUAAAAUUUAAAAAUAAAGUACUUUAUAUUUUAUUAAAAUAAAAUUUUAGACACUAUAUUAUAAUUGACCGUUAAUCUUUUCAUAUUAAAUUAAUUUUUAGCAAAUUAAAAAGUUUAAUUUUAUUAUUUAUUAUUUAAAUUUUAAAAUAUAAACAUAAAUUAAUAUAAACAUUUGAAUUUUUUUUAUUUAAUAAGCUUUUAUAUAUAUAUAUAUAUAUAUAUAUAUAAUGUGGUCGAAAAUAGAGCUAUACUAGAUAGAGUAUGAGGUAGUUGAUGCUUAUAGCAGCUGCUUCAAAGCUCAAAUUAGUAAAUUGAAGAAUAGAGCGAAUAUAAAUAAUUGCUUAGAAUUCAAGAGUAGUUGCGUAGGAAUUGUAUACUUUUGUCUCCGUGAUAAUUAGUUUUUAUACUGUAAGAAGAUGAGUUAAUUAUAAUAUUUUUUGAAAAUUCGACAAUGACAUGACCGGCUAAUUUAUAAGGGAUAUCACUGGUUAAUCGAUUGGGGAUCCCUCGAUUACAGGCGUAAUGAGUUCUGCUUGAUUGUGCCUGCUAAUUGUAAUUUUAUACGAAGACUCGACCUCUUCAAGAAAGGACGAGUCUUACUGAAGAGUCGGGUACAAUGGUGUCCGAGUCUUGUUGAAGAAUCAAGUACAAUGGUAUCUGAGUCUUCCUUUUUAUAUGUGGGACUGCAUAUCAACUUAUCAGACUCUUGCCAUGUGACCCUGUCUUAUAGUGACAGCUCAUAACUCACUUUGGGCGAUUGUUGUGUAGCAUCAGAGGUCCCCUGCUGGCCUUUAAGAUUGAGUGAAGGUUGUUGAGUGAAUUUGUAAUUUCGAGCAAAGGAUUGCUCUUAUGAGAAAAAGAGAUUUGUAAAAGAGCAAGGGUUUUACUCUAAAAUUGUAAGGGGUUUUAAUCUUCAUCCAAAGAAGAUUUGAUAGUGGAGUUGAACUCUCAAGGAGGGCUUGAGGAGAGGACAUAGGCUUGAGAUAGCUGAACCUCUAUAAAUCUUUGUGUUGAUCUUUCUUUACCUUCCUUAUUCCCUUUUUAAUUUGUGUCUCUUACCUUAAAUUUUUUUAUAAACCCAAUUCACCCCCCUCUUAGGUUGCUUAAAGGGACAACAACCCGGUUGGUCGGCCUACGUAUAGGACGUAAAAUGCCUUAGAAACUUUUUGUGAAACGGGAGUAACAACUAGUUGAUCGGCUUGGCAUAUGCCCAUCUUGCAUCCUGGGCAUAAAAUGCCUUGUUUAGCAGGACUUAAUGCCCGUAUUAUGUCCUGCCGGAACCCGCCUUGUGGUCUUGCAUGAAAAACCUUAUUUAUCGAGACUAACACUUGGAUUAUAGCCUAACGAAUUUUCGUCUUGUGGCCUGGCAUGAGAUGUCUUGUUUAGUGGGACUAACACUCAGAUCAUGGCUUGAAGGAUUUCCGCCUUGUAGCCUGACAUGAGAUACCUUGUUUAGUAGGACUAACACCCAAAUUAUGGUCUGACAAAUUCCUAACUUGUGGCUUGGUAUGAGAUGUCUUGUUUAGUGGGACUAACACCCAGAUCAUAGCCUAACAGAUUUAUGCCUUGUGGCCUGACAUGAGAUGUCUUGUUUAGUGGAAUUAACACUCGGAUCAUGGCCUGACGAAUUCCCACCUUAUGGCUUGACAUGAGAUGCCUUGUUUAGUGGGGCUCAUAUCCAGAUUAUGGUCUGAUGGAUUCUCGCUUUGUGACCUGGCAUAAGAUGUCUUGUUUAGUAGGACUAAUACCAUAACAUAAAACAAUUAAAAUAAAAGAAAAUAAAGCUAAAACUAAUGAAACAAAAAUAAAGAAAGCUAAAGGAGAUGGACAUCAUGGAUAUGGACAGUAACUCUCUCCCCACACUUGGAUAACAUGGUCCUCAAUGUGAUGAAAAUCAAUGCAAUCUAAGCAUUCUUAUUUCCUCUAAAUAGCCUCCCUUCACACUUAAAUCAAAAUAUAAAACAAUAAAGAAGAGUUCAAAAUACUACCCGGUGAUAAGGAAGGAUGCAAUGGCCAUUUAUUAUCAUUGUUGGUGUGUAGAGCGGAUUGUGGCCUACAUGUCAGUGACUUUAUUUGCUAGGCGUACCAAAUGGGUAGCAACAAGCUCCAGGAUGAUUUUAAAAUAACUCUCCAUUUGAUCGAUUCUGGCAUUGAGAGUUUGGAAAUCUUAUUGUGCAUCAAAGGGAGGAUUAGCCAUUGCCGGAGUAGGGACAACAAGGGCAGUGCAUACAACUCUUUUUUUAAACACAUGGUCUGGUCGAAGGAUGAUGGAACUGGAGGACGAAGAGAAAACACAAUAUCAUUUUUGCAUAAUAGACCCAUAUUGUUAAGACUCAUUAGAUCCAAGGACAACAGGUCACAAGCUUUGUGUAAAUCAUUAUGUAUCAAAUCAAUCAAUCCUUCAUAUAAAGCUAUGUAGGUGACUAUGUAUCCUAACAUCAAUGGUCUAUGGCGAGUGAUCGCAAUGCAUAACUGUGAUGCGAUGAAACAAUCCAAAUUGACUUUUUUAUUCUCAAUCAUGCACUAUAGAAUAAAUAACUCAGUUUUAAAUAGGAUUUCGAAGGAAUCCUUCCUUCCUAAAAAAGAGUAUACAAGCAAAAGAUAUAUGAAGAUCAGAGCAGGUGAGUGUAAAUAAGAAUCACUAGAUUUGGAAGAAUUAAAAGGGACUGGUGGUUGGUGCGUGAGCAUUUUAUGCAUGGAUUGUGGAUUAAAAUUAUUGCAUAUGUCAAUGUAUACAUUCAAGUAAGCUUCAAAUUGUGUAGAUUCAUCAUCAAUCAACCCAAGUGCUUUAUUAAAUUCUAUUAGAGAAUAUGUAAAUCGCUGAUCCAAUAGUCUGAAUUUUAUAACAUCAACAGUGUCCAGUGUGCAGCCAGUGAGUAAUGCAGUGGAAAAUGUGGAAUAAAAUUCUCAUAUCAGUUCAUAAUAAAUGGGGCAAUUUAUGGUAAAAAAAAAUCACCCAUCCAAUAUUUUCAAUCAAAACAUCCACAUUCAAAUUUAGUUUUUGCACAGUAGAGGCAUGUAAGGUUUUACCUUGUACGAUGGGAAGAGAUAAAACUAUAGUAUACUUUUCUUUUUUCCUUUUUGCUUGUGAAUCAAAGGUUACCACGUGGUUGUGAUGGAGCUAGAGGUAAGUGAUGUUUGUCUCUCCCAAUGUGUAAUCGUGUACCUGCAAGAGAGACAUUCACAAUUGCUAGGUUAGUUUGUGGAGAUUUAAGAGAGGUAUUUUUUGUAGAAGAAGAAGUGGAAUGGAGAGGGCUAGCGAAAGAUUGCUAUUGGCGAUCGAUGGUGGGAGACGAGAAUGUACGGGCUAGUAUAGCAGCAGCGGUUGUGGUGUCGCGUGAGGGCUGUUUGCGACAAUAGUGCCGUCGUGCAGCUCUAGUGAGCAGUUCAUCAUCGGUGCAUGGCACCAGAACAACUGUUCAUGGUGGUGGAUGUGAGGCAGGGGCGGCGUUACCCGAUGGGCCUAGCAUUGGAGAAGUGGUGUGAUCUGGUGUACUCACGCUGAGGUUGUAGGUGGCUGCAGGUGGAGAUGGUUUGCUCAAAGCAACAAGAGCUGAUGAUGCAAGGGUGGUGGUUGACUUUGUGAAAACCCACAUCUUCUCUAGAUAUGGUUUGCUCAAAGCCAUAAUUAGUGAUCGAGGAACUCAUUUCUGCAACAAGGUAGUGGAAAUCCUUCUUAAAAAGUACCAUGUUGUCCAUAGAACAUCCACUGCCUACCACCCUCAAACAAAUGGGCUGGUCGAAAUAUCAAAUAGGGAAAUCAAGUCCAUCCUAGCGAAAACAGUUUAUCCAAAUCGCAAAACUUAAGUGUACGCCUAAAUGACGCCUUAUGGGCAUAUAGAACAGCCUACAAAAAUGCCAAUUGGAAUGUCUCCAUAUCGGUUGAUCUAUGGUAAAGCAUGCUAUCUGCCCGUCAAACUUGAACACACAGCCUAUUGGGUUGUUAAGAGCUACAAUCUCGAUGCAAAAGAAGCCGGAUCCCACAUAAAAUUGCAACUUCAAGAGAUAAAGGAAAUACGGCGUGAUGCAUAUGAAGCAUCAUGGGAUUACAAAGCCAAAACCAAAGCCUUCCAUGAUAAACAUAUCUCUAGAAAAUAGUUUCAGGUUGGUGAUAAGGUUUUGCUUUUUGACUCACGAUUUAAAUUGUUUCUAAAAAAGCUACGGUCUAUGUGGAUUAGGCCAAUCUUGGUAGAACAUGUCUUUCCACAUGGAGCUGUGGACAUACGCAGUCUAGAAACAGACAAGAUCUUUAAGGUCAAUAGGCACCGUCUGAAACCAUUUUAUGAAGGAUUUGUUGUGCAACUUAUAGAAGAGGUUCACCUGAAUUGUAUAUCCUGUAGAGCAUGUCCACCAAACAAAAAAUUCACUUGGGUUUCUGGGUUGCCAUACAGCUCUCUAGCACAAUCACCUACCACCGCCCCUUAAUUUUUGGGCACUUGAUCACUUCCAUUGCAGUUAAUUUAAAACUAUUGCAUCCUGAUUAUACUAAUCUUACCCCAUCAGCAAACCAACCCCCCUAGACCUACGUACUUUGGAUGAUAUGGGGUUGCUUCGCAAGGUGGGGGGAGUUUUUUCCCCUACUCCUGCAAGACCUGUUAUACCACGCCAUGAGCGUGUGUUCAGGAAGAAGGCUGUCAACCAGGAGGCAGCAUCCCAGCAACCUGUCUUGCCAAAAGUAGCCCAACAGACCACAGAAGAGGCACCUACCGAGACACCUCAAGACCACUCGGUGGAGGCCCGUCAGACCAGAAUUGAAGAGAGAAUGCAGCAUAUGGCUGCAAGUGCUGGUGAACAACUUCCUACCUAGAAACCAUCUACAAAAGUGAUUUGGUCGCGGAUUUGGAUGCAAAUUUGGGCAAAUCACACACUUCGCCAGGAAGUCCCUUUCUCUUUUUCUUUCUUUAUAUUAUGCAUUGAGGGCAAUAUUGGAACUAGGUGUGGGGGUAUUGAAAAUGCUGAGUAGAGGCACUAGGCACUAUCUUUUUGCUCUGCUACACCAUAUUUUUUGUAUAGUUCUAGUUUUUCACUUAUUCACUUAUAGUUACACACAUAUUCCUUUUUGCACAUAUGCACAUAUACAUAGAUUUUUUGUUUUUGCUCUACUCAACACAGAUAAAAAAGUUAAAAGAGUCUCCUAUCUCAUGACCCCAUUGAUUUUCCAACCCUUUAAGCCUGAAUUGAAUUAUUUGUAGUGAGUUACUUUCGCCUAGGAAAUUUUUCUCUUGAAUUGAAUCUUCAAACUUGUUGUGGUCAAGGAAGAUAAAAAUAAACAAUGCAUGUGACAGAAAUAAGUUAGUGCAGCACUCAGUGAGUUGAUUUGUCCAAAUUACUAUAAAAAGAAAAACAAAAACUCAGCAAAGUCAAAAAAGCACAAAACCAAAACCUGUUCCAAUGGUCAAGGAAUAUGAACAGAGCUAGUAGCCACUUGAACAAGUGACCAACUGAGUAACCGAGGGGUGGAUAUCACAAAUAUGCACUUUCGCAUAAAAAAGUUAAUGACUUUUUUAGACAAGAAUAAAAAGUGUUACUGAAUAAAAAUGCUUAAAAAGAGGGCAAGUCACUCUUGAGGCUGCAUAAGACUGAAACUAAAAACUAAAGAAUGAGCAUAAUCAAAUUAAAACUUUCUCUUGGCCACGGUAGAUAAGGGGAAAGAAGGAAAAAAAAAGACGACCUUAAUGCAUGUACUCUACACUGCGGUGUUUCAAUUUGGGAAUCUAGGGUGGUUGAUUAAGUGAUAAUUAGGCUCAAAAGAAAAGGAGCUUAAUUAACUAAGUUAUUUAUUACUUGAGAACAAACAAAAAGCUAAGUGUGGGGUAUUUGGUCAAGCAUAAUUUAGCCACAUUUUUGUUAUCAUUAUUACUGUUUAAAUAUGAACUUUCCUAACUUAAUUUAUGUUUUUAUAAUAUUUUUGCAUAAAAGCUGAAAAAUAGAAAAAAAAAAAGCUGAAGAAUUGAUUUGGUUGAAGUGAUUUGGCCAAAUCAAGCCCCAAAGAAUGAUUAAGGUAGCUGUAGGAAGAGGAAGUUAAAACAUUCAAGACUUGAUAUGCCCAAAAUGAUUUGCCCGGAUCGCUGGCCAAUGCACUUGAAGAAAGCCGAAACAAAAACCCGGAGGUGACUCGCAAAAACGAUUUGGGCAAGUGAUUUGCCCAAAUCAACUGUCUCCAGCAAGAAAAUACAGAAGUGCGGGAAAGGUGAAAAUUCAAAAGUCUUAGAGUCCUAUCCUACUUCAAAUACAACAAGACUAAUCCUAUGACACCUCCAGAAAUCACACUAAAGGAAGUCCUUCACCAAAGGAGAUCUAUUUAUGCUAAAAUACAAAGACAAAGAAAGAAUUAAAGACCAUCAAAGACCAAGUCAAAGACCAAGUCAAAAUAGGAUUCAACUCCAAGAAGGAUUAGGACUUAUCACUUAUAAAAAGAGGGCGGCAACCAACAGAAGGGGAUAUCAGAAUUCUCAGCAGAAAGCUCUAGCAGUGCCUCUCUCUCUCUUUUUCUUCUUUCUUUUCUCUUUCAUGUAUUAUUUGUUCACCAUGAGUGGUUAAAAAUCUUUUCCUCUAAUUGGAGUUGGAGAAAUUUCAAUUUUGUUAUGAAUUGAAAGAUCUAAAACUCCAUUGUCAAACUUUUAUUUUUCAAUAUUUAUGCAACUUGUUUUUCAUGUUAUUAUUGUCUUGCUAUUAAAAUCAAUAAGGACCCAUUGUUUUUAAUUGCAUAAGCAAUAUAUUGUUAGUUUGAGUGAUUUAGGUCCGUAAUUGCUUAGAUUAUUUGAAAACAAAUAACAAUUGGUUGCAUGAUCUAAUUUAACCACGUGGUUGGCAAGGCUAGAAUUAGAUUUCUUUAUUUCUUACAGCAGUUAACAGUUGAAAAGUGAAGAACACCAAGAACAUUCCUUGGUAACUAGUUAACAAGUUUGUUAACUAGUGUUUGAUUAGCGAACGUUUUCUAAUCAAACUAAACUUAAGGAGGAAUUUGGUUGUGGAGAGUGUCUUCCACAAUCUAAACUAAUUUAUUGAAAUAAAUAGAAGAAUUAAAGUAUCAAUGAUCAAUUACAAACUGAAAUGGAUCCUAUACUUCAACUAGGAUCUUUUUAUUAUUAAUUUACUCAUCUUUUGAUCAUUACUUUCUUUACUACUUUAGUUUUAAUCUUAGUUCAUCAUCAUAAAAAACAACCCCCUUUUAUUUUACUAUUAUUAUUAAUUUGCCCAAGUUAUUGUUAGGAAAGUCUUUAGUGUCAAAUUCCUGUGAUUCGAUCCUAUUAUCACUAUCUACAGUUCUUAACUGUUGAUUUCUAAUAGGUUUAUUUUUAACGGUUUCGACAACCACUAUCAACUACCCUUCAUCAACAUCUCAAAUCUAUGGGUAUUGCAAUACACUAUCUUAAUAUACAAAUCACAACUCAAUUUCAAGUCUCAAAAGAGAUAUGCAAAAUCACAAUCAACCCAUAAUCAAUUCCAUAUGAAUUUAAAAGAAAGUUCCACAAAAAUCAAUUUCACAAGAAUAAAAAGAGCGCGUACAUGAUUGUAUUGUUUCUAUGAAAUUAAUUUUUGUAAAAAGCACAAGUAACCCAAUUCUCGAUCGACAAGCACCAGUUGAGCAAUCCAAUUCCGCAAAAAUAAUUUUAUAAAAAUCGAUUCCACAAGCAAACCAAUUCUCGAUUGAUUAGUGCCUACAAAGCAAUCCUGCAAUCACUACCUUAUAUCUUGACGGGAAAUAGGAUCAAUUGGUUCAAAUUGUAUCAAUCAUAUCGAAGGUAGCGAACCAGAGUUUAAAGAAGAAAGGCAUGUACUUUUCUCUUUGGAGAAAAGGAUAGUACAUGCAUGCUAAAUCAGUAAAACUACAAGUGAAUUUGAAGACUAUUGAUAGCGAAUUUGAGUCAAGAAAGAGGAGGAGAUAACUGAAUAUAAUUAUUAAUAUAAAGUUAAAAGGAUAAGGAGAAGAAGAAGAAUCGAUCAGAACCAUUAAUUUAAAAUAAAAAGGAAAAUAAGGUGAAGGAGAGCAAAUCUAAGUUAAAAGGAGAAGAAGCCAAAGGAGGAGAAAAAAAAAAGGGAGAAGGGAAACAAACUAAGAGCAUUUAGGAAAAUAAAAUAUAAUCUCUCGGCUUUAUAUUUAAUUGAAAAAAUGGAUGGAAGGGCUAACUUUUUAGACUGAAUUAAAGGUUAAGGAUUAAAGUGUUUAGUUCUAAAAAUUAAGAACAAAUUUGUUAAUUAUGUCAUCUCUCAUGAAUUAAAAAAUAAUUUUUUCUUAUAAAAACCAUUUUGCAAUUUUAUUUAAUAAUUUUGAACUGUUUAUACUUAAAACGCAUUGAAUUUUGAAUUAACUUGUAAUGCUCUUAAAAUUAUAAUAUAUACAUAUAUAUCUUAGACAAAUAUAAAGAAAGCCAAUAAGGUAUCUUUAAAAAGAGGAAAAAAAAACAUGAACCACCAUCACUACAAUCAAACAUUACUAAUAAUUAAAUAGAAUAAACUGGAGAGAAAUUCGUAUACGCAAUUCAAACGUCAUCGAUACUAACAAAACCCACACCUAGAAACAAAUAUGACAAAAAGAAGCAGAAGAAGCUAUUAUGAUUCAAUGGAAGAAGACAGAGUUACAGGCACAGCGAAACAAGAGGUAUUGGAAUAUUAGGGAAAAUAAGUGAAGAUUCCACCAAUAAAACAACAAUGUUUCCACAGAUAUCAGUAUAUCAUAGGAUUUCCUUCCUUCCAACUUGGUGAAAUUAGGUCAGGUACUAAGCUAGAAUCACUUCUACACUAUUUCCUAUUACGAAAUUGAAUGGUAGCAACACAAUCAGAAUCAGUAUCGCAACAUCACAGGUCAUUAAGAAAUUGAAUCGCAGCAACACAAUCAGAAAUAAUAAAAAAAAGUUGAGAUACCCAAAUCCUUCGCUCGAGAGGCUAUAGUGAAGCAGGUGAAGGGGAAAUUUGCCUCCGUCUUGAGCUCGAAGCUGCUGUCACGAUGCUCGUGGCGUGAAAAUGUUGUGUCGCUGAAGGAGUUCGGGAGAAGGGGCGUCAAGAUGAGUGAAAAUGACUUGAGAGAUGGCGUGAAGAUGAGUGAAAAUGACUUGAAGCCGUAUCGCGGGAGAUGGGACUGUUUGGAUGUUUGAGAGAUGAGUGAAAAUGGGUUAGUUUUUUUUUUUUUUUUUCCCUUGAAAAAAGAAAGAAUAUA